CAUACAGUCAGAGCUAUGAUACAAUCAAUGAUCAAUCCUCUCAACCUUGAUUUCAACUGCAAUGUCUGAAUCACAAUUAGACAAACGAGUAGAAUAAGAAUUUGGUACCAAUUAAUAAGACAUAAUUCAUAACUACGCCAAGUCUGCAGUUGUGAAAAAGGAACAAUUAGAUUAUCAGGUGAUCAAAUAGUCUAUUGGAGGUGUCUUCCUGAUGAAUUGAAGAUGAAGUUACUAUCAAUCAUUGUUUUUGUAAAUUUUGUUCAGUUGGAUCGUCCAUCUUCUGCGUCUGUGACUCACCACAUAACUGAACAUAACAGCAUCAAAUGUGAUCUCUGUUUGUCAGUGUAACUGAUCAGAAUGAAAGUUUAAGUACAUCACAGUGAUGCACAGUAGAGGGCGCUCGACUACCAUUUAUACACCUAUCAAUACUUUGAAUGACAACACUGUAGAUGUGUGUAGUGCAGCUCUCAGGAUCACAUCACAACGCAGAGACACUCCCACCUGUAGCUCUUCAUGUCUUUAACUAUAAGAGACUCUGGCAGUUUGUGUCUAAGAAAACAUGGAUAUUAUCAUCAUCAAACAAGACCUCUUCAGAUUGUCCGUCUUCUUCCUGUGGACUACAGGUCUAAUUGAUGGAAGUGAUGUGACCCAGAACCCCAUAAUGUGGAAAGACCAGGGUGAAAAUGCAACAAUAUACUGCAAUCACACCAAGGGCGGUAGCUACUACCAGAUGUACUGGUACAGACAGCUGCCAGGAGAAGCAAUGAAACUAAUAGUUUUUACAACAACUGCAAAAACAGAUCAUGACUUUGAACCAGACUUCAGAAAAGAGAGAUUCUCAGCUACUAAGCUUGACGCUGCUAGUGGGACAUUCACAGUGAAGAAUCUGGUGUCAGGAGAUAAAGGCUUGUAUUUCUGUGCUGUCAGUGAAGCACAGUGAUACAGAUGCACUUGACAGCUGAACAAAAACCUUAGUGCACUG